GGAGGAGUGACCGAGUGGCUUAAGGUGGCGGUCUUGAAAACCGUUGUGCGGCGACGUACCGGGGGUUCGAAUCCCUCCUCCUCCG
rnacentral:tRNA from 1 species